rnacentral:rRNA from 1 species
UGGUAAUGCCGGAUGCUCCGACUCCUCGCAUGGGGUGUCGGGAAAGAUUUCAUCGGUAUGGGAUGGGGUCGCGUCCUAUCAGGUAGUCGGCGGGGUAACGGCCCACCGAGCCUACGACGGGUAGCCGGCCUGAGAGGGCGACCGGCCACAUUGGGACUGAGAUACGGCCCAGACUCCUACGGGAGGCAGCAGUGGGGAAUAUUGCACAAUGGGCGCAAGCCUGAUGCAGCGACGCCGCGUGCGGGAUGACGGCCUUCGGGUUGUAAACCGCUUUUGAUCGGGAGCAAGCCUUCGGGUGAGUGUACCUUUCGAAUAAGCACCGGCUAACUACGUGCCAGCAGCCGCGGUAAUACGUAGGGUGCAAGCGUUAUCCGGAAUUAUUGGGCGUAAAGGGCUCGUAGGCGGUUCGUCGCGUCCGGUGUGAAAGUCCAUCGCUUAACGGUGGAUCUGCGCCGGGUACGGGCGGGCUGGAGUGCGGUAGGGGA